UACGGGGGGGGCAAGCGUUGUUCGGAAUUACUGGGCGUAAAGCGUGCGCAGGCGGUCUGUUAAGACAGAUGUGAAAUCCCCGGGCUUAACCUGGGAACUGCAUUUGUGACUGGCAGGCUAGAGUAUGGCAGAGGGGGUAGAAUUCCACGUGUAGCAGUGAAAUGCGUAGAGAUGUGGAGGAAUACCGAUGGCGAAGGCAGCCCCCUGGGCCCGAAU
rnacentral:rRNA from 1 species